rnacentral:rRNA from 1 species
GACGAACGCUGGCGGCGUGCUUAACACAUGCAAGUCGAACGGUAAGGCCCUUCGGGGUAUACGAGUGGCGAACGGGCGAGUAACACGUGGGUGAUCUGCCCUGCACUUCGGGAUAAGCCUGGGAAACUGGGUCUAAUACCGGAUAGGACUCCGGACUGCAUGGUCUGGGGUGGAAAGCUUUUGCGGUGUGGGAUGGGCCGGCGGCCUAUCAGCUUGUGGGUGGGGUGAUGGCCUACCAAGGCGACGACGGGUAGCCGGCCUGGGAGGGUGACCAGCGACCCUGGGACGAAGAUAGUGCGCAGAUUCCGACGGGAGGCAGCAGUGGGGAAUAUUGCACAAUGGGCGCAAGCCUGAUGCAGCGACGCCGGGUGAGGGAUGACGGCUUUCGGGUUGUAAACCUCUUUCAGCAUCGACGAAGCGAAAGUGACGGUAGGUGCAGAAGAGGGACCGGCCAACUACGUGCCAGCAGCCGCCGUAA